GACGAACGCUGGCGGCGUGCCUAAUACAUGCAAGUCGAGCGAGCGGAACUAACAGAUUUACCUCGGUAAUGACGUUAGGAAAGCGAGCGGCGGAUGGGUGAGUAACACGUGGGGAACCUGCCCCAUAGUCUGGGAUACCACUUGGAAACAGGUGCUAAUACCGGAUAAGAAAGCAGAUCGCAUGAUCAGCUUUUAAAAGGCGGCGUAAGCUGUCGCUAUGGGAUGGCCCCGCGGUGCAUUAGCUAGUUGGUAAGGUAAAGGCUUACCAAGGCGAUGAUGCAUAGCCGAGUUGAGAGACUGAUCGGCCACAUUGGGACUGAGACACGGCCCAAACUCCUACGGGAGGCAGCAGUAGGGAAUCUUCCACAAUGGACGCAAGUCUGAUGGAGCAACGCCGCGUGAGUGAAGAAGGUUUUCGGAUCGUAAAGCUCUGUUGUUGGUGAAGAAGGAUAGAGGUAGUAACUGGCCUUUAUUUGACGGUAAUCAACCAGAAAGUCACGGCUAACUACGUG
rnacentral:rRNA from 1 species